rnacentral:misc_RNA from 1 species
GAAUCAUUCACGUACAUGUCACAAUCUAGGUUGAGAAUGAUGGGUCCAUUGCUAAUCUCUGAUGAAACUCUUAUCAAAGCAUUCAUGGCUCCAGCUUUGAAGUGAUGAGNNNNAAUAUUGGGGUCUUUUCUCUCUUGCCAUGUACACAAGUGUUGGCAAUCGAUACCCAUUGUUGUCUACAGCAGUUUCAUCCCUUCCAUCAAUAACAAUCUGCACAAUAGGCUGAUGAUCGUUCUUUGUUACAUUCUGGUUCCAUUCUGAGAAUCCUUUAUGUUUAUCCCUUAUUUCUUUCGAAAUGCUACCUCUUUCCAUGGUUGAUUCGAUCCGUUCCUUCAUUUCUUCAUAUAGAUUCUUAACAUCUGACCAUUCUUGAUAAUUCGUGAACUGUUGCUCAUUACUAUUGCGUGCAAAGUAGGUCUCAGGGGACCUUGGCUCGAUGUUGUUUGUUUUGCAAAACGGUAUCCAAUACUUAGCAAAGUGAGAGGCC